GCCUUCAUGGUUUAAUGGUCAACACACUCGGCGUGUGUUCGAGAGGUCCGAGGUUCGAGUCCUGGUGAGGACA
rnacentral:tRNA from 1 species